ensembl:lncRNA
AAAUAAUAUAUUAAUUUAAUUUUAAAUGAAUAGAAAUUUGAAUAGAUAUUUAGUUAAUAAUUAAAAUGUUUUCUCUAUACAGUCUCAAGACAUCGCAGUGUACAUUGUAAUGGUUUCUCACAUUAAAAAAGCACAAAAGGUCUAAUUGUGCCUGAUAAAGAGUUUCACACAAAUGCCUCUUGCUGGUGAGAAUAAAUUCUUAGAGCAACAGUGUGCUGACUUUUUGUACUUUCUCAAUGAUUAUUUUAGUUAUUUUCAUUCCUUUUUCUGCAUAACCAUAAUUGAGAUGUGAAAAACUGAUGCAAAAAAAAAAAAACACCCUAAAGAAAAAAAGAAGGAAAAACUGUGUGUGGGCUGAGGCUGGUCAGGUGACGGCAUUUUAAAGAAGGCAGUGAAUGUGUGUGUGUGUGUGUGUGUGGUGUGGUGGGGGUGGGCCGGGGGCCGACUUACAGAGCCGUGUAGGCAGGAAACCUUCCCUGCUCACACACGCUUACCAUGCAGCCAUGGGGGUGGAGAGAUGCUAUGUAGUUAAACCCAAGGCAGCCUGUGGAUACAACACUUCCAGCGUGACACUCGCAGAGAACGGCAAAAGCUCAGCCUCAAAUACACACACACACACACACACACAUAGAACAGCAGAUCUCAACAGGAUACUGCAGUCAGUCACAGGCACAUGAGCACUGGAGGAAAUGGAGUGAGAAGAAAAAGGAAGAGACAAAUCACACACAUGCCAUGUGUGCAGAGAAGCAGAUUGUCCGCUAUCAGCGGUGAUGGUGCGCGGAGGAAGAAUGCGAGCAUACAGCGAAGUCAAACAAAAGGUGCGUCCUGGGUAUAUUUUAUUAUAUUGUGCCAUAAGCUGCAGAUUGUGUAUCCUUCAGAUGCAUUGUUUAGCAUUUGGUUAAUCUAUUUUUUUUUUCUUUCGAGAAGCAUGUGGCCAAACUAUAGGGUCCAAUGCCACAAAUGUGAUACAAAUGUGAUAAUUAAUUUUAAAAGAAUACUUAUUUUUGCUGCUUCCUGCAUUUGUUGCUUUGUCUUUAAAACCUCGAACAUACAAUGCCGAAUGCACGAAACGCACAGCAUGCUGUAG